rnacentral:rRNA from 1 species
UGGGGAAUAUUGGACAAUGGGGGCAACCCUGAUCCAGCAAUACCGCGUGUGUGAAGAAGGCCUUCGGGUUGUAAAGCACUUUAGGCGGGGAAGAAGGUACGGAGUUUAAGAGACGCUGUAUUUGACGGUACCCGCAGAAUAAGCACCGGCUAACUCUGUGCCAGCAGCCGCGGUAAUACAGAGGGUGCGAGCGUUAAUCGGAUUUACUGGGCGUAAAGGGCGUGUAGGUGGUUACGUAAGUGAGAUGUGAAAUCCCCGGGCUCAACCUGGGAACUGCAUCUUAUACUGCGUAGCUGGAGUACAUUAGAGGGUAGUGGAAUUUCCGGUGUAGCGGUGAAAUGCGUAGAUAUCGGAAGGAACACCAGUGGCGAAGGCGGCUACCUGGAAUGAUACUGACACUGAGGCGCGAGAGCGUGGGGAGCAAACAGGAUUAGAUACCCCCGUAGUCC